rnacentral:rRNA from 1 species
GAUGAACGCUGGCGGCGUGCCUAAUACAUGCAAGUCGAGCGAAUGGAUUAAGAGCUUGCUCUUAUGAAGUUAGCGGCGGACGGGUGAGUAACACGUGGGUAACCUGCCCAUAAGACUGGGAUAACUCCGGGAAACCGGGGCUAAUACCGGAUAACAUUUUGAACCGCAUGGUUCGAAAUUGAAAGGCGGCUUCGGCUGUCACUUAUGGAUGGACCCGCGUCGCAUUAGCUAGUUGGUGAGGUAACGGCUCACCAAGGCAACGAUGCGUAGCCGACCUGAGAGGGUGAUCGGCCACACUGGGACUGAGACACGGCCCAGACUCCUACGGGAGGCAGCAGUAGGGAAUCUUCCGCAAUGGACGAAAGUCUGACGGAGCAACGCCGCGUGAGUGAUGAAGGCUUUCGGGUCGUAAAACCCUGUUGUUAGGGGAGAACAAGUGCUAGUUGAAUAAGCUGGCACCUUGACGGUACCUAACCAGAAAGCCACGGCUAACUACGUGCCAGCAGCCGCCGUAA